rnacentral:tRNA from 1 species
GCGGGCGUGGCGGAACUGGCAGACGCGCUAGACUUAGGAUCUAGUUCUUUUGAGUGCAGGUUCGAUUCCUGUCGCCCGCA